AACCAGACUCCUACGGGAGGCAGCAGUGGGGGAUAUUGCACAAUGGGGGAAACCCUGAUGCAGCGACGCCGCGUGAGUGAAGAAGUAUUUCGGUAUGUAAAGCUCUAUCAGCAGGGAAGAAGAUGACAGUACCUGAGUAAGAAGCCCCGGCUAACUACGUGCCAGCAGCCGCGGUAAUACGUAGGGGGCAAGCGUUAUCCGGAUUUACUGGGUGUAAAGGGAGCGUAGACGGCAAUGCAAGCCAGAUGUGAAAGCCCGGGGCUCAACCCCGGGACUGCAUUUGGAACUGUGUAGCUGGAGUGUCGGAGAGGCAGGCGGAAUUCCUAGUGUAGCGGUGAAAUGCGUAGAUAUUAGGAGGAACACCAGUGGCGAAGGCGGCCUGCUGGACGAUGACUGACGUUGAGGCUCGAAAGCGUGGGGAGCAAACAGGAUUAGAUACCCUCGUAUC
rnacentral:rRNA from 1 species